rnacentral:rRNA from 1 species
ACGAGUGGCGCACGGGUGCGUAACGCGUAUGCAACCUACCUUCAACUGGGAGAUAGCCCCUCGAAAGAGGGAUUAAUAUCCCAUAGUAAUAAGAAGAGGCAUCUCUUUUUGUUUAAAGCUCCGGCGGUUGAAGAUGGGCAUGCGUGACAUUAGCUAGUUGGUGAGGUAACGGCUCACCAAGGCUACGAUGUCUAGGGGUUCUGAGAGGAUGAUCCCCCACACUGGUACUGAGACACGGACCAGACUCCUACGGGAGGCAGCAGUAAGGAAUAUUGGUCAAUGGACGCAAGUCUGAGCCAGCCAUGCCGCGUGAAGGAUGACGGCCCUAUGGGUUGUAAACUUCUUUUGUACGGGAAUAAACCCGGGUACGUGUACCCGGCUGAAUGUACCGUAAGAAUAAGGAUCGGCUAACUCCGUGCCAGCAGCCGCGGUAAUACGGAGGAUCCAAGCGUUAUCCGGAUUCAUUGGGUUUAAAGGGUGCGUAGGCGGAUUUGUAAGUCAGUGGUGAAAGCCUGCAGCUUAACUGUAGAACUGCCAUUGAUACUGCAAGUCUUGAGUACACUUGACGUGGGCGGAAUGUGUCAUGUAGCGGUGAAAUGCUUAGAUAUGACACAGAACACCGAUAGCGAAGGCAGCUCACGAAAUUGUAACUGACGCUGAGGCACGACAGCGUGGGGAUCAAACAGGAUUAGAUACCCUGGUAGUCCACGCCGUAAACUAUGAAUACUCGAUGUGUGCGAUAUACUGUACGCGUCUAAGCUAAAGCAUUAAGUAUUCCACCUGGGGAGUAC